rnacentral:rRNA from 1 species
GUGGGGAAUUUUGGACAAUGGGCGCAAGCCUGAUCCAGCAAUGCCGCGUGCAGGAAGAAGGCCUUCGGGUUGUAAACUGCUUUUGUACGGAACGAAACGGUCCUGGCUAAUAUCCGGGGCUAAUGACGGUACCGUAAGAAUAAGCACCGGCUAACUACGUGCCAGCAGCCGCGGUAAUACGUAGGGUGCGAGCGUUAAUCGGAAUUACUGGGCGUAAAGCGUGCGCAGGCGGUGCUGUAAGACAGGCGUGAAAUCCCCGGGCUCAACCUGGGAAUUGCGCUUGUGACUGCAGUGCUGGAGUGCGGCAGAGGGGGAUGGAAUUCCGCGUGUAGCAGUGAAAUGUGUAGAUAUGCGGAGGAACACCGAUGGCGAAGGCAAUCCCCUGGGCCUGCACUGACGCUCAUGCACGAAAGCGUGGGGAGCAAACAGGAUUAGAUACCCUAGUAGUCC